rnacentral:pre_miRNA from 1 species
GGACUACUCCCUUUGUCCAAUAAAAGACGUCUCAAGUUUGAAUGUAUCUAGAUAUGACUUAAUGUACAGAUGCAUUCAAAUUUUGUCAAAGUUGAGACAUCCUUUGUUGGAUAGAGGGAGUACUUA